GGGUCUCUUUAGCUCGCAGCCGACCCCGGGUAACCUAGGUCCGUCGCCGUCCAGAGAGAGCGCAUAACCGUCUCCUCCUCGAUCCUUCCCACCGCCGCCUCCAUGUUGCUCUGUGUUGGUCGAAUCGAAGGGGACAGUAGAUGAGAGAUGAGAAACAGACGAUGAAGGGAUGACGAGUCGAGCUCAAACAAGGCGCACAGGACGCCGUCGGCCGCCCCUUGACUUCAGCGAUGUUCGACGGCCACGUAUGAUCUCGAUCUCUUUCCCUCUCCCUCUCUCGCUUCCCCCGUUUCCCUUUCCAUCUUCGAUUAGGACGAGGUUACGCACCUUGAAUGAUCGAGCGGCAAUUGCAUGGGUUCAUGUGUGUGCGUGCGCGUGUGUGUGAUUCCCACGACAGUGGUGGUUAUUUGCGAUGUCGCUGCAGGUUUGGAAUGGUGGGAGGCUGCGCAGUUGGUGCAGAACUAUGGGGGAUUUUCGGGUGUCAGCUGUCACGCUUAAAGAUGGACUUUCAGUCUAACUUGUAGCGUCGGAUUUUAUUUGAAGGGUAAGAAAUCUGAUAUUUUUCAGGGGCUCAAGCUUUGCUGUAGAGUUCUCAACCUACGAAAACAUAUUGUUACUCUUGGAGGUGGUCAUCAAUAUUUCACUGCUUGGACCCUUGAUGCCAAUCUCGAAGAGUUGAUCAUAGAUGUCAUUGCAUUGCAGCUGGAAUGUAAGGUUGGAUUCUUAGUGGAGGCAGAUGAGCUACAACUAAGGCACCUUUUCUUAGACCUUCUGAGUUUGAUUUUUUUUUAGAUGGUUGCACAUAUAAAUGGUUGCUUUAAUCUGAGAAGUGAUUGUAUUUAAAAAAUGAUCUUAAUUCUUUGUGUUCCGAGUCAUGGUGUGAAACAAUCCUGAACAAUACUAUGGACCUCAAUAUCGAGAAUAUUUAUAAGUUUUAUGUGAUGUGUUUAUUUGCUGUAGGUGUUUGGUGACGAGAGAUGCGAUGAACAUUCUGAACACAUUACUUGCGAAAAAAAUUGGUUCUUAUGAGGGAUGAACAAUUCUUUGGCAUAUCUGAAACUUCAAUGGCAAAGUGGCACCGGAGUGUCUUAUUUCUGCACCUUCAGGAGGAAUAUCCUGACACAGAAAUGAAUCUAGCUGGACAUAUUUGCAUGCUCGAACAGCUUCGGCGGAAGGAAAAGGAAAAGCUGGCAAGCGAGCUAAUGGAUAUUGCAAGAGAAAAAACAGAAAAUAAAAGGCAGCAAGAGGAACAUUAGCAAACGCCAAAAGCCAGAGUGACAGCAAUCAAGUCACCAGAUAUGAUAGUGGUCCUUUUAAAGAAACGCUGUUCUGCCUUCCCCUGCGUCUCUGAGCAGAAGCAAGCAGGAGGACAACGAGCAGCGCUCUUCUAUCAUGUAUGUCUUCUUCACUGUAAUGGUAGCAAUAGCACGUUCAUAGGUUGAUGGUAUAUUUUCCUUGUAUCAGUUCUUAAUUUCUUUCUACACAUGAGACUGAAUUCGAAAAGAAUCAAGUGUUGGUCCCUUACUAAAUUUGUGUUUUAAAUGUUAAAGCUUCAUUAUCUGAAGCCAUGCUCACAUGGUAAUUCUUUUUUGAGAUUUUUACAAGUUCCCUAUACGAAGUACUGUAUCCUAAAAAAAUACAAUAAAAACAUAUCUGUAAGCAGUGUCACCGUCCUUGCAUCUCCUAUGUUCAGGAGGCCUUCACCUCAUCCGAGGAUGUUGGCGCUCCGUGUCUAUGUGUGUGUUACUUUAUUUUAAUAUUGCAGCUGCACGAUGCUCAAUAUCGAGGUUAUCAUUUGUCGUCGAGGCAACAAAAUGAUUAUACGGAUUGUUUGUUUAUCCAUGUUUCUAUCUGCAAUUUUUUAUAUAAGGCUAUUAUUUUUCAUCGAUUUAUUUUUUGCUACCUCCAUGUGAGCAGAGAGAAGGUAUUCGACUUUCAUGGUUCAAAGGACUGAUGUUUUCACUUUUAUUGUUGCACAAAUGGUCUAUCUCUUAUGAACUAAAAGAAAUUUAGGUCCAACAACCAAGCUUAUUUUAUAGCUGCUAUAAAUCAAUUGAGCAGACUAGGAGGUAUUCCAUUAAUUAUCACCUGUGUGGAUGCAAGGAAUUCCAUAAUGAUAUUCCAUAUUCCACUAGAAGAGUACUUCAAGAAAACGACAUUUUUGUUCUUGGAAUUCUGUGCAUAAUAGAAGUCGCUUGCCUUAGAAUGUUGUGAAUUUCUGUUGUGUCCGUUUUUUGCAUGAUCUCUUCACAUGAAUGGGGAUUGAUGCCACAACGAUAUUCUUCACUAUUUGUGUUCUAGCAACCAUUCCUACUAUUGUGUAGUAGUAGUAGUUCGAUUAUUUCAGAGUCCGCCAUCUAUGAGGUGCAUACUCAAUCACCAGCAGUAUCAUCACACAAUGUUUUUUCUUACUCUUUGUGGUACAUGUUACGCCUUCUUCAUCCGGCAAUAACAUCCUAGGAGUUAUGCUUAUCCACGAGGUUUGCCUUUUCAUCUUCAAAUUUGUGUGGAUUUUCCUUCCCUACAAUCCCAUUGUCUUGCGACAAGCAGCUCUUGGGUAUUUGCUUUGUUCGUAACAUAGUGUUUGUAAUCAUUUUUGGCUUGCUGAUGAUGUUUGCCGCAGUUAAUUUGUUGCAGGUAGCCAGGUACAAUCGCCAAGUCCUUGGGACUGGAUCUGGGUUUUUCUGGUUCCAGAAUUCCUUGGCGAAGAAUUCCCAAUGAUUGCUAGCCAGGAUAGCUCAGUGGAAUGUCAUAUCCUAUCCAAUAUCCAAAUAUAUGUUAAUAUUUGCUUGGGUUCCACGCUUAUGUUUUCUUAAUGAUUCAUGCCAUGCUAUUGCCGGCUAUUAUCGUUGUUGUAUGUAUCCUUCAGCUUCUUUAGGUGGUAAAUUCAUAUGUGGAAAUGUAAGCACACUUUUGCCGUAGUUGUUCCCACAGUCUUAAUGCAUUUCCUAUCUGAUCAAAUGGCAUGUAUAUAGUGUGUAUAAAGCCUGCAAAGGAGAAAUGAUUAUUGACCAUGUCUAGAGUAUGCUUGAUUGUGGGUCUUUUACAAAUUUGGAUAACUUUUUGCUGAUAAUUCAGUAUGAUGUUAAGAACUUCCUUGCAUGAGUUCGAGAAACUGAAUUUGCCAUUCCAUCACAUGUGGACAAAUAUUAAUGCCAUAUAUUAGAUUAUAUCAACAUUACUUCAACCUACAAAGAAUCAAUACAUGAAUUCAAAGUUAGGCAAUUAGGCUUACGAGCUAUUAAGCAUCUGUGUAUAAAUGUACUUAACGCUUGAAUGCAAAAAGAGCACCAUAGUAGGGACGAUAAUGCAGUUUUCCUUAGGCACUGUCCACGUACUUUAUGUUGUUUAUAUAUAUGAUACUAGGGUAUUACUACUUAGUGCUUCUAUGUACUAUACAUCCAAAAUUUGAUGUAUGAUAUGUCAGAUAUCACUUCAUUAAUUCGUAAUGUUGUUUUUCCGGUUCUAUGUAUUACUUAGUAUGGCUGAGUAAUGCAACAAGUACUUUAUAACUUUUUGUACAAUUAAAAUUUUAAUCACAAAAUCAAUACCUGUCUUUGCACACUUUAUUUAUGCAUAAUAUUUAAGAAUACUAUUAUUAUUCUAUCGCAAAAACAGACGGGUGCGGCAACGCGCGCCAUCAAUGAUUUCUGCCGUUGGAUCUAGAUUUAUGAUCGUUUUUGGUCGCUGGAUCAACCUACGAUCGCUAUAGUUUUUGCGAGUGGGCAUGGGCUGCUGCUCCCGUAACAAAAUUGGGCUUCUCUGGUGAAUUUGGCCAACAUGGGCCUUUGAACGCUUUGCCAGGUGUCGGAGUGAAGCAAGCGGCGCCGCUUCAGCCCCCCACUUCUCCCUUCUCUCACGAUCUUUGCGACGGGCGUCCGCUCGCCUCCGUGAUGGUAUCCUCGUGCCCGAGGAUUCUCCCUCCCGUUCGCCUCCUACUAAUACUAAUCUGGUCCAUCGUCUCACUGGAUUUGAGACUGCAGUAUCAAUGUACGCCUUCCCCUUUCCCUCUCUCUGCUCGGUUUUCUUCCCGGUUAUUGCAGAUCCGUGUCUCCGCCACCGGUGUUCUUCACGGAUGUUGAUCAAGUCCACACUGCCAUCGCCGCCUCUAGGCUGCUUCCCUUUCUCCACGCCACCGCUUCCGCUCCAGGUCGCUCCGCCGCCGUUUCUGUAACGCUCCUCCCAUACUGCAUCCCGUCGUCGGUCCUCAUCCCCAUCCCCGGCGGCGCCCUAGAUGGAGGUCGGCAGCAGGUAUACCUAUGGCGGCCGCGCCCAGCAGUAUCCACGGUGGCACAGGUAUCCUCCCCGUCCUCCUUCUCCUAUCCUUUCUCCUCUGCAUACGACCCUCGUCUGCCGCGUCCCACGUACCUCCACUGCUACGGGAUCCAUGGUGGCGCCCAGCGGGUUUCAUGGUGGCGCGGCCACCAUAGCCCAGCCCCCUCCACCGUGCCCCCCUUCCUUCCUCCCGUCCUAGCCCUUCUCCCCUUUCCUAUUUGCUAUAGAACAAAAGGGAUGUUCAUGUGUGACUGAUCCACGCCAUCUGCUAUAGAACAAAAGGGAUGUUGUGGUCACAAUCUUGAAUGUAAUGCCCAAUCCUUCUAAUCACAAAUAAGCUUUGUUAAAUUUUUGAUAUAUUUCUUUGUAUUAUGAGUUUAUUCGUUCUAGAGUUGGAUAUUGAUGAACCUCAUGCCAGCACACCAGGCAAAUGAUUAUGUUUCUUGAUGAUGCUUCUAUAUUACUAGCAACAACAUUUGUAAUAUCUCAAUCUUCUCUUUGCAGAAUGCGGAGAGAUACACAAACAUGUAGAGGAUGGAGGAAGUGACUCGGUGGUGAACUAAUAGCUAGCACACAAGCAUGCUUGAUAUUCCCUGAUCUAUUGUACGUGUUUGAUGUGUAGGCACUGAGGCGCAUGCAAAACAGGUGAGCGACGAGCCCGAGCAGCUUGCCAAAGCUAAUUGAAACCCCAAUGGAAAAUUUCAAGGAUUAUAUCAAGGUCCUUUCAUCUGGACCCAUCAGUUUUCUAUAUCUCAAGAAAUCCAAACAUUAAGUUUUCAAACUUGAGUAACUGAAUUUCGUUUGUCCAAAUGAGAAUUGUGUAAGUUGUACAGACUUCCUGUGAUUUCUUUACCCAACUCAUCUUACAGAUUUCUUUACACUAAUGAUGCUAGCAUCACACAGGAGGUUGUUCAUGUCAUCAAAAAGUGCUACAGGAAUCUAAAGCCCAAUUGAAAUCAUUUUUUUACCCAAAGUGCAACUAAGCUGCAGCUUCUUUUCGGCAGCUCUACACAUUUUGAUACUCUCCUACCAAAGCUGGUGUACUAAGAUGUUAAUUAGUGAGUACUGCUAAACAUGCAGUGUGUUGUAUCUAAAUUAGUUGCAUGCCAUGUUGAGUACUUGCUUUCGUGGUUCUUAAUUUCAGGAUUUGUUGCCUGGUUCUAUUAUUUUUUGGAUAAUACUAUUGAGAUGCAGCCGUGUCACUUUGCCCCUAAUAUUUCUACACAUCUUUAUUUUCUCUACCUGCGUGCUUCUAUUCUGUGUGACUCAAAUGUCCAAACAUUGUUAUCUUAGUUCUGGCCAAGGAAAUUCAGAUUAUUGUCAUCUAAGGCUAUGUUCGGCAACCCUCCACUCCUCUAUCACGGAGUGGAGCGGGCAGAGCAUCGUCUUAGCUGCUCCAUAAAUUACAACUGCAUACCGCUCCGCUCCGGAAUGGAGUUGCGGAGACGGAGGGAGUCCGAACAUGCUCUAAGUGAUCUCUAUGUUAGCUUCAAGGUUAGCCUUAAUAGUCAAUGGGAGGUUUACCCCAAAUAAUAAAAUGUAGAUGUGGAAAAUGGAAAUAUAGUAGAUCUUGUUUGUUUAGGUAAGCAAUGUUAUGAUUUGAAUACCAAAAGUAUUCAAGUCCAAGGUUGUUUUGUGUGUAGGCUUACUCGAGUGUAAUUAUCAUCUACGUUUAUGAACAUGAUUUUCAAAUUUCAGUAAGUUUGGAAAGGCUACAAUGGUUGCUCAGAGUAAGUUUUGCAUUGGCGUUAUACUGUUAGUACAUUGGCAUGUAGAAUAUUUUGUCUUGUGAUGUUGUGUAUUAAAUCACAUUUCCUUACUCUUCUGCUAUAUUGCAGGGUUCAAGGCUUCCUGACAAGUGACCUUAACCAUUGUUCAGGUAACUCCUGAACUGCUUGUUGCUCUUGAGUAAAGUGAUGCUGAAGGAUCAAGGGUGUUUCUCAAUCAAGAGCUAUUAGUUACCUUGACCAUGGUGCAUCUCUUCUGAUUUCUUCAGUUAAAAGGUCAUCGAUUGCUGAAUUGUGUCUUCAAUGCUACAAUGGAUUAUGAUUUAUAUAUCGGUAAGGCAUACAAAUGAAUUCUGUCAGUAAAUGUGGACAAAUGAAUUCCACAGCUACAUGAGCUUUCUUAACUAGAUGUUGUUACUAUAAUAAUAAUUUUAUUACCAAAAUAGACGGGCGCAACAACGCGCGCCAUCAGUGAUCUAGUAGUUAUAAUUAUCCGGGUGCAUUGCCUUUUUGUUAAGUAGAUUCCUUGUGUUAGACCCUAUCAUGGAGUAGGAUCCAGAGGAAAAUCUUAUGUCUCAAUCUACAAGAAGUUUUCCAAAUGCGAACGAACAAGGAGUGGACUGUACUAGGCCCCAUCAUAUGUUUGUACAUUUUGAUGGAAGAGUAUCCUCUGGUUGUUCCUUUCACCGCCCAAUAAUCUGUGGCAUUUGAAACAUGUCUCUUUAGAAUGUGCU